GGGGAAUAUUGCACAAUGGGCGAAAGCCUGAUGCAGCGACGCCGCGUGAGCGAAGAAGUAUUUCGGUAUGUAAAGCUCUAUCAGCAGGGAAGAUAAUGACGGUACCUGACUAAGAAGCACCGGCUAAAUACGUGCCAGCAGCCGCGGUAAUACGUAGGUCACAAGCGUUGUCCGGAAUUACUGGGUGUAAAGGGAGCGCAGGCGGGAAGACAAGUUGGAAGUGAAAUCCAUGGGCUCAACCCAUGAACUGCUUUCAAAACUGUUUUUCUUGAGUAGUGCAGAGGUAGGCGGAAUUCCCGGUGUAGCGGUGGAAUGCGUAGAUAUCGGGAGGAACACCAGUGGCGAAGGCGGCUUGCUGGACGACAACUGACGCUGAGGCGCGAAAGCGUGGGGAGCAAACAGGAUUAGAUACCCUGGUAGUCCACGCUGUAAACGAUGAAUACUAGGUGUGGGAGGACUGACCCCUUCCGUGCCGCAGUUAACACAAUAAGUAUUCCACCUGGGGAGUACGACCGCAAGGUUGAAACUCAAAGGAAUUGACGGGGGCCCGCACAAGCAGUGGAGUAUGUGGUUUAAUUCGACGCAACGCGAAGAACCUUACCAAGUCUUGACAUCCCUUGACGAUGCUGGAAACAGCAUUUCUCUUCGGAGCAAGGAGACAGGUGGUGCAUGGUUGUCGUCAGCUCGUGUCGUGAGAUGUUGGGUUAAGUCCCGCAACGAGCGCAACCCUUAUGGUCAGUUACUACGCAAGAGGACUCUGGCCAGACUGCCGUUGACAAAACGGAGGAAGGUGGGGAUGACGUCAAAUCAUCAUGCCCUUUAUGACUUGGGCUACACACGUACUACAAUGGCGUUAAACAAAGAGAAGCAAGACCGCGAGGUGGAGCAAAACUCAGAAACAACGUCCCAGUUCGGACUGCAGGCUGCAACUCGCCUGCACGAAGUCGGAAUUGCUAGUAAUCGUGGAUCAGCAUGCCACGGUGAAUACGUUCCCG
rnacentral:rRNA from 1 species